UAAGACGAACCGUACGAACGUUAUUCGGAAUCACUGGGCUUAAAGGGUGCGUAGGCGGCGCGGAAAGUUGGGUGUGAAAGCCCUCGGCUCAACCGAGGAAUUGCGCCCAAAACUACCGUGCUUGAGGGAGACAGAGGUGAGUGGAACUAAGGGUGGAGCGGUGAAAUGCGUUGAUAUCCUUAGGAACACCGGUGGCGAAAGCGACUCACUGGGUCUCUACUGACGCUGAGGCACGAAAGCUAGGGGAGCGAACGGGAUUAGAUACCCCGGUAGUCCUAGCCGUAAACGAUGAGCACUGGGUUGGAGGGCCUUCCAUAGCCUUCCGGCCGUAGCGAAAGUGUUAAGUGCUCCGCCUGGGGAGUAUGGUCGCAAGGCUG
rnacentral:rRNA from 1 species